rnacentral:misc_RNA from 1 species
GGUUGUGUUAGAAGGUCUAAUUGAUCCUUGGGAAGUGCAUCCUCAUGGGUUGCAAUUACUGUAAUCCUUAUAUGUGCACCUCUUUCUUGGUGAUUAUUGAUUUGUGCGCUUGUAUGAUAUGUAAUUGCGUCGCCUACUUUAAUGGUGCACUUAUAUCUGAUAGGUCAAGUGAAGUUCCCAGUAGAUGUACUCUUAGACCUGUAAUUGUUUCCUUUUAUGUUUUAAUAACUGUAAAAUGUCUGGAAUUGUUUUUAAAACAUAAAAGGAAACAAUUACAGGU